GACGAACGCUGGCGGCGUGCUUAACACAUGCAAUUCUAACGGAAAGGCUCUGCUUUUGUUGGGUGUUCGAGUGGCGAACGGGUGAUUAACCCGUGAGUUACCUGCCCUUGUCUUUGGGAUAAUUUCAGGAAACUUGGGCUAAUACCGGAUACGAGCUCCUGUUGCAUGUUGGGGGUUGGAAAGUCUCGGCGGUUGGGGAUGUACUGGCUGCCUAUCAGUUUCUUGGUGGGGUAGUCGCUUAUCAAGGCUUUGAGGGGUAGCCGGCCUGAGAGGGUGACCGGCAAAAAUGGGACAGAGAUAAGGCCGAGAAUCCUAAGGGAGGCAGCAGUGGGGAAUAUUGCACAAUGGGCGGAAGCCUGAUGCAGCAACGCCGCGUGCGGGAUGACGGCCUUCGGGUUGUAAACCGAUUUCGCCUGUGACGAAGCGUGAGUGACGGUAAUGGGUAAAGAAGCACCGGCUAACUACGUG
rnacentral:rRNA from 1 species